rnacentral:rRNA from 1 species
AACGAACGCUGGCGGCAGGCUUAACACAUGCAAGUCGAGCGCCCCGCAAGGGGAGCGGCAGACGGGUGAGUAACGCGUGGGAACGUACCUUUUGGUUCGGAACAACUCCGGGAAACUGGAGCUAAUACCGGAUAAGCCCUAACGGGGAAAGAUUUAUCGCCGAAAGAUCGGCCCGCGUCUGAUUAGCUAGUUGGUGAGGUAACGGCUCACCAAGGCGACGAUCAGUAGCUGGUCUGAGAGGAUGAUCAGCCACACUGGGACUGAGACACGGCCCAGACUCCUGCGGGAGGCAGCAGUGGGGAAUAUUGGACAAUGGGCGCAAGCCUGAUCCAGCCAUGCCGCGUGAGUGAUGAAGGCCUUAGGGUUGUAAAGCUCUUUUGUCCGGGAAGAUAAUGACUGUACCGGAAGAAUAAGCCCCGGCUAACUUCGUG